AUCCAGAUGAUCAGUCUCAAAUAGGACGAGACGCGCUUGCUGGAU
rnacentral:hammerhead_ribozyme from 1 species